CGCAGCGUCUACCCCGAGACCGCUGACGUCCCGCAGGGGAACGGCUUGCAAAAAGGGAUUCCCUGAUCUCGCCCAGAAGCCUUACAAACGAGAGGCUUGCAGGCCGGCGCGGUGCCGGUGCGCGGAAAGCGCUCGGCCUUGGUCGGUGUAGCAAGCGCCCGUGACCCGGCGGACGUACCAAUGGAAGGGGUCCCUACGGUCUUGGAUGUCCGCCCCUCCCCCCGACCCCCACCACGUCCCGAGCACUUUUGAGUUGUGGAAGCGGGGCUUGAUACGCUAAGAUAUACCUACUGAAAAGACAGAAGACUUACUUUCAUCAUCUGAAUCAAAUCCAAAGAGUGUCUGACAUUUCUUUUGUGCAAGUUAUUUUCACUUAUAUAUACCUUUUGUAACAUUUUGGGACCUUGGAGCAAGGGCAGCAAGGAGGAAAAGAUGGGUAUGUUGAGAACGUGAACUUAAAAUCCUC